GACGAACGCUGGCGGCGUGCUUAACACAUGCAAGUCGAGCGGUAAGGCCCUUUCGGGGGUACACGAGCGGCGAACGGGUGAGUAACACGUGGGUGACCUGCCCUCAGCUCUGGGAUAAGCCUGGGAAACCGGGUCUAAUACCGGAUAUGACUCCAUGACGCAUGUUGUGGGGUGGAAAGCCUUGUGCGGCUGAGGAUGGGCCCGCGGCCUAUCAGCUUGUUGGUGGGGUGANGGCCUACCAAGGCGACGACGGGUAGCCGGCCUGAGAGGCGACCGGCCACACUGGGACUGAGACACGGCCCAGACUCCUACGGGAGCAGCAGUGGGGAAUCUUGCGCAAUGGGCGAAAGCCU
rnacentral:rRNA from 1 species